rnacentral:rRNA from 1 species
UACGGAGGGUGCGAGCGUUGUCCGGAAUCACUGGGCGUAAAGGGCGCGUAGGUGGCGCAGGAAGUCAACGGUGAAAGUUCGGGGCUCAACCCUGAAUCGGCCGUCGAUACUCCUGGGCUCGAGCACUGUAGAGGCAGAUGGAAUUCCGGGUGGAGUGGUGAAAUGCGUAGGAGAUCCGGAGGAACACCAAAGGCGAAGGCAGUGUCCUGGGGAGUACCUGACACUGAGG